rnacentral:rRNA from 1 species
AAACUUUCAACAACGGAUCUCUUGGCUCUGGCAUCGAUGAAGAACGCAGCGAAAUGCGAUACGUAAUGCGAAUUGCAGAAUUCAGCGAGUCAUCGAAUCUUUGAACGCACAUUGCGCCCGCCAGCAUUCUGGCGGGCAUGCCUGCCCGAGCGUCAUUU